rnacentral:misc_RNA from 1 species
AAAAUUAUUAAUAAACCCCAAAAAGCUUUUAAAAUACUCAAGGGGUCCAGUGCCUUACCAAAAUUUGACAGCAGUAAUAUACUAAUUUUUUUGAAAAAAUUAUCACUAAAAUCCUAAAAAGUUUUAAAAUUAUAGGGGGCCCAAUGCAGCGAUUCCCCUUUUGGCCCAGGUACAUAACAAUCCGUUAACCCCAUCCAACUAUCAUUAGGGGUGGCAAUUUUAGGCAAGACCCAUGAACAUGACACAAAAAUAGAGAAUUUGAGUUGGGCUUAUUCAUGUUUAUGUUGAAACCAUGUCAACCUGUUUACAGUGUUGUUAAAGGCGCUCCGAGGCGCCAAGCCAAGCGACUCUCCAGCGCCUCGCCUAGCUCCGUUUGGCCUUGGUUGCAUGAGGUGACUGCUUGGGAGAAAAAGGCACAGGGUGCAAGUUGAGGGAGGCAACACCUUUGUUACAUAAUGUUUACUUUUUUUUUUUUUUUAUCCCUUUAAACUAGCAAAGAG